GACGAACGCUGGCGGCAAGCUUAACACAUGCAAGUCGAACGCCCUCUUCGGAGGGAGUGGCAGACGGGUGAGUAACGCGUGGGAACGUGCCUUUUGGUUCGGAACAACUGAGGGAAACUUCAGCUAAAACCGGAUAAGCCCUUCGGGGGAAAGUUUACGCCAAAAGAUCGGCCCGCGUUAGAUUAGCUAGUUGGUGGGGUAAUGGCCUACCAAGGCGACGAUCUAUAGCUGUUCUGAGAGGAAGAUCAGCCACACUGGGACUGAGACACGGCCCAGACUCCUACGGGAGGCAGCAGUGGGGAAUAUUGGACAAUGGGCGCAAGCCUGAUCCAGCUAUGCCGCGUGGAUGAAGAAGGCCCUAGGGUUGUAAAGUCCUUUCGCUAGGGAAGAUAAUGACGGUAC
rnacentral:rRNA from 1 species